rnacentral:rRNA from 1 species
CCUACGGUGGGCUGCAGUGGGGAAUAUUGGUCAAUGGGCGCAAGCCUGACCCAGCAAUGCCGCGUGAAGGAAGAAGGCUUUCGGGUUGUACACCUCUUUGACAGGGGAAGAGCAGAAGACGGUACCCUGAAAACAAGCCACGGCGAACUACGUGCCAGCAGCCGCGGUAAUACGCAGGUGGCAAGCGUUGUCCGGAUUUACUGGGUGUAACGGGCGUGUAGCCGGGAAGGCAAGUCAGAUGGGAAAUCCGGGGGCUCAACCUCCGACUUGCAUUUGAAACUGUGUUUCUUGAGUACUGGAGAGGCAGACGGAAUUCCUUGUGUAGCGGUGAAAUGCGUAGAUAUAAGGAGGAACACCAGUGGCGAAGGCAGUCUGCUGGACAGCAACUGACGGUGAGGCGCGAAAGCGUGGGGAGCAAACAGGAUUAGAUACCCCAGUAGUC